rnacentral:lncRNA from 1 species
CAUGAUUUAAUUUCACGUUUCAGUUCUGUUUUGCGCUCGAAUACUAAACUUUCAAAAUGACAACUCGAAGUGCGGGGCGGAAAUGCGCUGCUUCGCUGUGAGCUCUGGUCUGUUUCCGUGUGAAAGUGUGAUUGCGAGAGAUUAAUGACCCAGAUCGACAUGAAAACAGGUCUUGCUGUUGGAAGGGUCUACUGACAUUUUGCGCUACAGAAAUCUGACUGACAUUGAGCAGUGCUGUGGUGCCAUGCGGCUGUGGUUUCAGGAGGUGUUUGUGUGGACGACUUUUCAUCUGUCUGCUCACAUUUCACAUCAUUUACCUCCCUGUAUUGCUGGGCUUUCUGUAACAUUUUUAGGGAAAGGUCCUCUUGCUUAGUUGGAAGAUGCCCAAUGCGGAGCCAAGGAUGCACAGGGGGAAAUGGCCCGUCCAAUUUACCUCACUGUACCUGGGCUGUCUGUGUUUUCUCUGCUCAGUCUCUGGUAAGCAGG